rnacentral:piRNA from 1 species
UGUAAGAGGCCACAGCAUGGACUGGUU